CAGGGCUGUAACUAGCCUCUUUUAAUAGUUAGGCAAAAUGUUUUUGCCGAGCGGUCUGGGGGCCGCCUAAGGUCCCCAGAAGCUCUGAGAACAUUAACGCAAAAUCGUGCAUUCUGAGCGUUUCCUGGACUCUUUCUUACAUUGAAACGCAAUUAAAUUUUAGUUAUUUUUUUUGUCAAUAUUCUGGUCUCAAAUCAAAAACAUGAUUGUAAUUU
rnacentral:lncRNA from 1 species